rnacentral:rRNA from 1 species
UGCAGCAACGCCGCGUGAGGGAUGACGGCCUAUCGGGUUGUAAACCUCUUUUAGUAGGGAAGAAGCGAAAGUGACGGUACCUGCAGAAAAAGCACCGGCUAACUACGUGCCAGCAGCCGCGGUAAUACGUAGGGUGCAAGCGUUGUCCGGAAUUAUUGGGCGUAAAGAGCUCGUAGGCGGUUUGUCGCGUCUGCUGUGAAAUCCCGAGGCUCAACCUCGGGCUUGCAGUGGGUACGGGCAGACUAGAGUGCGGUAGGGGAGAUUGGAAUUCCUGGUGUAGCGGUGGAAUGCGCAGAUAUCAAGAGGAACACCGAUGGCGAAGGCAGAUCUCUGGGCCGUAACUGACGCUGAGGAGCGAAAGCAUGGGGAGCGAACAGGAUUAGAUACCCUGGUAGUCCAUGCCGUAAACGUUGGGCGCUAGAUGUAGGGACCUUUCCACGGUUUCUGUGUCGUAGCUAACGCAUUAAGCGCCCCGCCUGGGGAGUACGGCCGCAAGGCUAAAACUCAAAGGAAUUGACGGGGGCCCGCACAAGCGGCGGAGCAUGCGGAUUAAUUCGAUGCAACGCGAAGAACCUUACCAAGGCUUGACAUACACCGGAAACGGCCAGAGAUGGUCGCCCCCUUGUGGU